rnacentral:tRNA from 1 species
GGGUCAUUAGUAUAGUGGUAGUAUGCCUGCUUCGGGAUAUUUAAGGCCCACGGUGGUUACAAUCGUAAAUGUAGGCGACCCCGGAUCAAACCCGGGAUGACCCC